AUUGAACGCUGGCGGCAGGCCUAACACAUGCAAGUCGAGCGAGCGGCGGACGGGUGAGUAAUGUCUGUGGAACUGCCUGAUGUGGGGGGAUAACUACUGGAAACGGUAGCUAAUACACCGUACCCUCAGAUGUGCCCACAGGGGAUUAGCUAGUAGGGGGGGUAAAGGCUCACCUAGGCGACGAUCCCUAGCUGGUCUGAGAGGAUGACCAGCCACACUGGAACUGAGACACGGUCCAGACUCCUACGGGAGGCAGCAGUGGGGAAUAUUGCACAAUGGGAGCAAGCCUGAUGCAGCCAUGCCGCGUGUAUGAAGAAGGCCUUCGGGUUGUAAAGUACUUUCAGCGGGGAGGCGUUACCCGCAGAAGAAGCACCGGCUAACUCCGUGCCAGCAGCCGCGGUAAUUC
rnacentral:rRNA from 1 species